AAACCCUUCGUGCCCCAUAGUUGUCGUAGUUAGAUAUCAAAGUUCUCCCUCUUAAACUUCUUGUACUUAAUACCAAUUGAUUUUUUUCUUCUUCAGGAUGGAACCACAACCAGCUAUGGCUCAACAAUCAAUUGACAUUGCAGAAACUAGCAAGAAAAAGUUAAAUCUACCACAAAUUAUAUGUCUAGAAGCAAUGAAGAGCUCACCACCACUGUCAUCCUCCACGCCUACUUCGCCGACAGUCUUAAGGAAGGCAUCAAGUGUAAAGCACAGCUGCUUGUGUUCACCAACAACACAUGCUGGUUCAUUCAGAUGCAGAUACCACAGGAACUCCGGCCUGACUCGCACCA
rnacentral:misc_RNA from 1 species